rnacentral:lncRNA from 1 species
GAAUUUAAACUUUGUUGGAGUUUAUAGUACCAUUUAUUUUCUUACCGUAGUUAAUUUAGGGCUUUAUAUAACUUUUGAAAUUAAUAAUUCCGACAGUUAUUUAUUUAAUUGGGCGGCUUAAAAUUUAAAUUUAAAAUUCAAAAUGAAUUGUGUGUUAAUCCUAUUUUUUAGCUAACACGUAAAAGUGAGAAAAAAUGUUUUCAGUUUUGUUUUUAAACUUCACUAGGUAACUUAUAAUCUUUCUAAGCUUUUGAACAGCCUUUUCAAUAAUCGUCUGUUACAAAAAAAAAAAUUAGUAGGUUUUAAGAACAUUUCAACAGAAAUUAAAUGAUUUCACAUUAUCACAUAUCUCAAAAAAUUUAAAUAUAUAAUGAAUGAUUAAAAAUAUUUUGAUAUCUAAUCAUUUUUAUCUUUUACAUAAUUUAUCAUAAUAUAUGUUUGAUGAUACAAUUGUCUUGUUAAAAUUGAGUGAUGUUUUUAUGUAGUGAUUAAACAUAUUUUUUUCCAUUCCUUUGUACAUGAAAAAUAUAGAACUGAUAAUUUUAUGGUUAGAAUAACUCCUUUUUAAAAACAAAUUAUAUAAAAGUUUUCGAUAAUAAAUAUUAGUUAUAAAUAAGUUAAGACCGUUAAAAAUGUAUACCACAAUAACAUAAAUAAAUUUUUUUAGAGACAAUCUACUUGUCUGAAGUCAAACAUUCACCACUUUUCGUUAUUGUUACUUUGUUACUCUAACAAAAUUUAUAGAAGGAGAAAACUAAAUUUGAAACAACAACAAAAUAAUAUUGUUGACCCUUUUAGAAAUUCAUUCUUCAUUAAAUUGUUGCUCUGAAGGCCUUUCUAGAUGCUUCAUCAAUGCAACUUUACGAUUUUUUCAGAAACAUGUAUGUAUAGUUAUUGCAUUAUGAAAGUAUAAGUAAAUCAAAAUGUUGGAUUCUAGACUCAUGUUAAAGAUAUAUUCUCGAACAUUAAAAAAAUAAAAAUGAGUCUAACCUAGAUAACUCAAAUGCUCAGCAAUGGCUUAGGACAUAAAGGACAACAAAUCUAUGUUAAUAGACAUAUCUUUUGUAGCUUAAGAUAUUACUUUUAUUUAGAGCAAGUUUUGUUUCAAAUUCUUCAAAUUAAGCUUGCUGAAAAUAGUCAUAACUCACACCAAAAAUAUUUAGUAGAGCUGAAUGAGAAGGAAAAAAAGAAAAGCAUUAAAAGGACGAAAGUUUUGUCCAAGUGAGAUCAUAUACAUACCAAACGAAAAAUAAUCAAUACACUUUUAAGGAGACAACAAAACAGCAAGAAAAAACAUACAUUAAAGGGAGUAAAUUAUGAGAUAUCCAAUGAUGAUAACAAAUCAUUCUAACCAGAAAAGUUCUCAUAUUUUAAAAUAACAUACCUCAGGAAAUUGACUAACACUUCAAUCAACUUUCAAUCCUUAAAGUACUCUGAUAAAAUUUAGUAAAAAUAGAUAACAACAACAUAAAAACAAAAAAUAUGGGCAUGCAAAGUUAUUAACUCUCAGAAGAUUUUCUAAAGAACACAAAAUCUCAUCAUUGUAUGUGAAGAAAUGACGUUGUUGAUGAACAAAUUAGAGAUUUGUAAGAGUUUUUUUAUUGUACCUUCAACAAUUCCAGUAGAGAAAACUUGCUUGAAUACUCAAUUAAUGUUUGUUAUUUAAUAUGUACUAACAAAUACUUAUAACAAUAAUAUUGCAGAAACAUAAACAACAAAAUUUAAAGCAUGUACUCAAAAAUAACAAUUAAUAAUAUAAGCAUAAAUUAAUGACUGUAAAAACAUUUCAGAAUCUGUAACAAUAGAAUGAAACAUAAUGGAAAAACUCGAGCCCACUGAAUGCACAGUGUCCCCUUAAGGAAAUUAUUCCCCCCUAGUACCCCGAGAUUUAAAGGAAUAGAUCUUCUCAGGAAAGAACGAUUAUAUUCACCAGUGUAUUGAUACAAAAAAAUGGCGUCAGUGAGUCAUUCAACAGGAGCAAAGUACACAAUUAUUUAAUUUUCCAGAAGAAGUUCAAAAUUUUCGUUAUUUUAAAAUGAGAGCAAAUUCCUCUAUUUAUUGACAACAAAAGGUAGUGUGAACAAAUGGUUAUUGUGUCUUAUCAGAAAGGUCACAACUUUUCAUAAAAGUCGCAAUUCUUCAUAAAAGUCACAACUUUUCAUGAAAGGGGAAGGCUAGUUUUGGAAAUAAAAUAAAUUUAAAGGGAAUCCUGAUUUGUCGUGGCGCCACGUAGGCGGGUCUAGGGUUCUCUUUUAUAUAUAUAUAUAUAUAUAUAUAUGAUAUUUCUUAUUUAUUUUUUUGGCAAUCAAAUUUUAAAUUUUAAAAUAAUGACUAAGCUAUCUAUAUUUUUUUUUUUUUAAACUUUUUAUAUUUCUUAUUUAAUUUAUUUGGCAUUCAAAUUCAAAAAAUUUUAAUUUUAAUUGUGAGAAUAAAAUAUAAAUUUUAAGAAAAUAAAAACAAAUAAGAAAUUUAAUUCACGUAAACUAAACAGAUUGUUUAGUUAGUGUGUUUUCUAAAGAGAUAAUUUUAAUUUAAAAGUUUUUUAAUUUAUAUAGAAGUAGGAGUGUAAUGGGAAGUUUUAAAAUUCCCUAUUUACUUGGAUAAUUACUUUAUUUUUAAAAAUAACGAUUAUAAUACCCUAUUUAGGCUGAUGUUUUAUUAAAGUUACAGUAAAACCUCUAUAAAUUAUUACUCAGUAAAUUAAUAAUCUCUCUAAAAUAAUAUUUUCCUCCGGUCCUGACUUGGGCCAAUGGAAAAAAAUCAUCAAUUUCGAUAAGAUAAUAAGAUAAUAUAUUUCCAGAAGACCCAUUAUAUAAAUAUAUGGUCCCAUUAAUAUCAUAAAUUAAUAAUUUUUUUAAAGUACAAAUAGAUCUAAGACAAUUUAGUGAAAUAUGAUUCUAUUGUGUUCAGUUUUUACUUAAAAUUUAAAUCUAGUUCUAACUUUUCUUAUUGCAUCCAAGAGCUCUGGUGUUGUCUUUUCGAUAUGCACCAUAAAAUUGUGAAGAGUUCUAGAUGUGUUAAGUGUUUUCUUACGCGUAACUGGUUCCAAAGGUAUAAUAUCAUCUUCAACUUCAUCAUCAACAUUGCUUUUUUCGAUGGUAUCCAUAAUUUCUUCUAAGCUCUGGACCUCUGAACAUGUAUCACUUUCACCCGGAUAAUCUAACAGGUUAUUGACAUCCAUUUUAUAGUGGUAACCGAGAUCAUUAGUCAUGACCUCAAGUUCAUGAAUGAUGUUUUCACAGGUGGGUUCAUUCAAAUUCUCUAAGAUUGGUCUCAUUAGGAAUUUGAAACCUAACAACUCGAGUUCUACAGUCAAUGAAAGCAUAACAGACAUGAUGCCAAUCCAUACCAAGAAUGACAUAGAAAUCUACCAUGUAUAACUCAACUAAAUUAGCCAUGGUGUUCUUGUGAUUGAUGGAAAUGACACAAUCACGAUGCUGAACAUUUGUUGUCCAAGCAAGGAUAGCAAAAUUGAUAGCAUCCAAAACAUUAAUCUUUGUUGGAUCAAAUUGUCCCACUUCAUAGCCUUCUAAUAUCCUACGAUAAAAUUUAUUACGAUAAUACAUCUUGAAAGUUCUUAUUAUCCCAUCAUCACAAGGUUGAAUUUUGAAUGUCAUGUUGGGUGGCAAGAAAAACAAUUCAACAUUUUGUAGUCCUUCAAUAUUUCUAUUAUGGGAUGGACAAUUAUCUACCACAAUCAAAACUCGUCUACCAUGCAUUUUGUGAUGAAACCAACGAGUAUAUUCAUCAAAAAGCACACUUGUCAUCCAUGCUCUUUUGUUUGCACGAUAGUCACAAUUCAAAUUUUUUUUAUAUGCGAAAUCAAUAAAUAUGAUACAUAAAUUAGUAAGAUACAAUGAUUUUGAUAUAAUCAAAAUUAACCUUCAUUAAAUCUCAAACCAUUCUUUAAAAUUAAUAAAUAUUAAUUUAUCGAUUGAAUAAUAUCUCUAUAAAAUAAUAAAAUUUCAUGGUCCCACCUAUAUUAAUUUAUAGAGGUUUUACUGUAUUAUUAUUAUUAUUAUUAUUAUUAUAGGUGAUAUUUUCUAAUUUUCUAAAAAAAUAUUUAAUUUAAAGGGUAAUUUUUUUUUUUUAAUUUUCUGAAUAAAAUUUUAAGAAAAUAAAAACAAAUAAGAAAUUCAAUUCACGUAAACUAAACAAAUUGUUUAGUUGGUGUGUUUCUUAAAAGAAUAAUUUAAAUAAUUUAAAUUUAUAUUUUUUUAAAUUUGCUUAGAAGUAGGAGUGUAAUGGGAAGUUUUAAAAUCCCUAUUUAGUUGGAUAGUUACUUUAUUUUUAAAAAUAUAGAUUGGAAUGCCCUAUUUAUGUCGAUGGUUUUUUCAAAUUAUUAUUAUUAUUAUUAGUAUUAUUAUUAUUAUUANNNNNNNNNNNNNNNNNNNNNNNNNNNNNNNNNNNNNNNNNNNNNNNNNNNNNNNNNNNNNNNNNNNNNNNNNNNNNNNNNNNNNNNNNNNNNNNNNNNNNNNNNNNNNNNNNNNNNNNNNNNNNNNNNNNNNNNNNNNNNNNNNNNNNNNNNNNNNNNNNNNNNNNNNNNNNNNNNNNNNNNNNNNNNNNNNNNNNNNNNNNNNNNNNNNNNNNNNNNNNNNNNNNNNNNNNNNNNNNNNNNNNNNNNNNNNNNNNNNNNNNNNNNNNNNNNNNNNNNNNNNNNNNNNNNNNNNNNNNNNNNNNNNNNNNNNNNNNNUAUUUUAUACAUUUUAUACCGAAAUGUCAGCCAAAAAAAAUAGAUUUUUUAAAUAAUUAAAAUAAAUUAUAUUUAAUAGGAUUAAAUAAUAAAUUACUAUUUUAUUUUUAAAAUAAUUUAAAUAUUUUGAUGUAACGUGUGUGUGUGAUUCCCUAUUUUUGUGGAAUAUAUUUUAAAGUAAUUAAAAUUAUUUAUUUUUAUAUAAAACUUAAAAAUAUUAAAUAUUAUUUAAAUGAUGAAUUUUGAAAGAAACUGCCAAAGGUGGGUUUAUAAUUUGAAGAUAUGUAAUUAGAUGUUAAUAUUAAAUAAUAAAGUUUAAUUAAUUUAAAAUAUUUUCCACAAAAAAGGGAAUCAUACACACGUUAGAUUGUAAAUAAUUUUUUUAAUUGUCAAAUAAAAUUUUAAGAAAAUAAAAACAACUAAGAAAUUUAAUUCACGUAAACUAAACAGAUUGUUUAGUUAGUGUGUUUUUUAAAAGAAUAAUUUUAAUUUUUUUCAAUUUGCUUAGAAGUAGGAGUGUAAUGGAAAGUUUUAAAACUCCCUAUUUAGUUGGAUAAUUACUUUAUUUUUAAAAAUAAAGAUUAAUAUGCCCCAUUUAUGUCGAUGUUGUUUUCAAAUUAUUUAUUGUUGUUGUUUUCAAAUUGUUGAUGUUGUUGUUGAUAUUUAUUUUAAGAUGUAAAUAAAUUAUUUCUUUUUAUAUAAAACUUAAAAUAUUAAAUAUUAUUUAAAUGAUGAAUUUUGAAAGAAACUUCCAAAUGUGGGUUUAUAAUUUGAAGAUAUCUAAUAAUGUUAAUAUUAAAUAAUAAAGUUUAAUUACUUUAAAAUAUUUUUCACAAAAAAAGGGAAUCUCUCUCACACACACGUUACAUCAUAAUAUUUAAAAUUAUUUUAAAAAUAAAAUAGUAAUUUAUUAUUUAAUCUUAUUAAAUAUAAUUAAUUUUAAUUAUUUAAAAAAAUUGUUAUUUUGUGGUGCUGACAUAUGACGAUUUUCACCUCUCCUAUUAUAUAUACUAGUAUACAAACCCGCGCGAUACGCGGAAAAUUAUUCCUAAAAAAUUAUUUAUAUAUAUAUAUACUUAUUGCCAUUUGAUAUAUCAUGCGUGAAAUUUAAUUAAUUAAUUGAUAUAUUAUGAAAUAAAAUAUUAAAAUUAGUUACAAUUUAUAAAAAAUUUACAACAUAGCUUAUAAAACUAUUUUGAUAUUCGUUAAAAAAAUAAAUCCAACAGACAUUUUAUGUGAAUUUUCUAACAAUGUAUUUUAUUAAAAUACUGUAAUAAAUUAUAACAAAAUAAUAUUGUUGUAUUUGAUACUAACCCACCCCCGUAUAGGCUUAACUAUUUAUUUUUUUCAUAUUAUUUUUUAUUCAUCCUAGACAAUUGUUUUCUUCAUAGAACAGUUAUUUGCAAAGAAAAGUAGAAAUUUCUACUUUAUCUAAAUAUUUGUAAAUAUCCUUUCUCCUAUUGAAGUAAAAAACAUACAAAGAUAGGAACUUUUUUUAUCCUCUAAAUUUCUUUUCUGAAUCUAUUAUUAUUACAAUUUAAAUUGUGAGUAUUAUUAUGUUAGAAUUGUAAUGAAUUCUUUAAAUGUAUAUUUUUAUGUAAUAACUAAUAUGGGUAAAAAUAAAUAAAUAAAUUAUAUAUCAUGAUAAAGAAGGGUUAUAAAAAAAAAGAAGCUUCGAUUUAGUUUUGUUAUAUGAUUGCAAUUUGUGAUAUGUUUAUAAUAAAUACAAAUGUCAUAUCAAGAUAUUGUCAAAUAAUUUAAAUUUUGCUUUAUUCAGAUUUCAUAAUUUCAAUAUACAUUCCUCAAAAGACUCAAACAAAUUUUAUAUGUGAAAUACUUGUCAUUUAAAAUAUUACUCUCACUCUAAAAAUAAUUUCAUAAAUAUGUGAAGACAUAUUUCGUAUGUUAAAACAUAUUUGACAAUAACAUGAUUAAAGUGAUUUUCAGAACAUAUAGAUUUUUGUUGCAUUUAGUUCAUUGGCAUUAUUUAUUAUUACUAAAUCAAAUUAUAUAUAUUUGUAAAAAAAAAAACAAUACUAACUGCAUAUAACUCAGAUACUCCUCUCCAUGUGCCUUUAAGAACCCGUGGAGAAAGAUCAUUUUCCUUAUAAUAUAACAAAAAAAUAUUAGUGAACUUCUCAAGAAUCUCUUAUAUACAUAAGAUAAUAUUUGUUUUUCUUAUUUAAAUAAUAUAAAAAAAAGAAGUAGGACUUUCAUAUAGAACUUCUAAACUAUCACCAUUAAGGUAAAACGUUUGAAUAGAAAACAACAUAAAUAACUGAAUUAACUUCAUGUUUUUUCAACAUUUUCCUCAUCCUAGACAAUCAUGUCGAAAAUCAACAAAAACAAAGUGAAAUUAUCCAAAUAAAUUCAAAGUGAGUAAAAGAUAAGAAGUUUACUUACAAAGAUAAAAAUGUUUCAAGUUAUUAAUUAUUGUGAUUUAUGAUAUUUUUAUGUAACUUUCAAAUAACGUACAUUACUGGUCACUUUAUCCUAAUUUAUGUGAUAUGGAUAAAAUUACAAAAUUAACCCUUUUAAAAUGUCUUUCAGAUAUUUUAAGUUGUUAAUUAUUAUUAUUUAUAAUACUUUUUUGGUAAUUUUAAAAUGAUAUGUGUUAUUUUUUCUGUCCCAAUAUAUGUGAGUCUGAUAGAAUUCUGAGAGUCAGCGUAUUGUAUUAUAUAGCUUAUAAAAAGAACUAAUCUUUGUAUAAUAAUUUUUAUUUUAUAAGUUAUAACAUAAUAGAUGACGUUCUUGUUGUUGGCUCUCAUGUUUUACUUCUCGAUUGACUGUAUACAUAAAUCAAAGAUAGUUAUAUGACUGUCCAUAGUUAACUGAGAAAAGUUUCCUUUUUUUGCAAUAAAGUUAUAAAAAAUUAUAUGAAUAAUGUAUACAAGCUAAAUCUUUCACAAAUUAAAACAAACAAUGAAGACAUAGAUACCAAAGUUUUCUCCAUGAUUUAAUGAAAUUUGAGGGGUGUUAACAUUAGUAAAAGACUUUUGAGAAUCCAUAGAGAGAAAAUUUAUUUUCAUUGUUGUUCAACUAAAGAUAUUUGUUGAGAGAGGAAGAAAGUUUUGUGAAUUGUAGGAUUUUAUCAUUUGAGUUUAGUGUUUAAGUUACAAAAUUUCUUAUUUAGAUUUUCUAAAUGUAAAUUUUUUAAAGUUUGCACAAAUAGUCUCCUAUUUGACUGAUAUUUAAUUUGUGCCCCUACGGUUUGUGCUUCAACAAUAUAGUCAUACGAAAAUUAAGUGUAAUAGAAUAUUGAUAUGUUUAGGUUAUUGCAUGAGUUUAUUAUCAAUGAGUUUAUAAUCACUUGUUUAUCUUACACCAACAAAGAUGUUGUUCAUAUACUUGUAAACGAUUUUUAAUUUAUUCAAUCAAGCACGAUUCAUCUAGGGAAAAAUAACAACAUCGUGUUAUCACAUAUAUAGGAGUGGUGUAAAAAUAUGAAAAAUUAUUGGUCAAAAGUUAAAACAAGAAAAGAUGAAAGAUAGAAAUAAUUAAUGUAAUAACUAUGAGAAUUCAUAAUAUUAUAACUAAAGAAUGUUAAAGAGUGUGAAUAACGUUUGUAAUAAUUAGUAAUAACUAAGAGAAUUUAUAAUGUUAUAACUAAAUGAUUAAUGUGCAAUAGAUGCAUUUCUAAUAAAUUUUAUACUUACAUAAAUAAAUAUGACUUUUAAUUAAUGUUACUAUUUUUUCAUAUAGUUAUUACAUUAUGUCGCACCCAAUUUCGAACCAAGCCGAAACAGUUCACAACAUAAUAUGACUGUCACUCUGUUUUAAAAAAAAAAAAUUGUUUUAGAGUUGCCACCUAAAUUUUAAGGAAAAUAUUAGGAAAACCAUUUUUUAAAUAUGUGAAUGUAAACUCUGUUUUGAUUUGCGAAACCUGUGAGAUUCUGAGUAAGGGUUUUGGUUACUCGAGGGGAAGGUGUUAGGCACCCCUCAGAGCCUAUCCGAAGAUAGUCCUUAAACUCAAUUUAAGAAAAUAUGAUUAGGAAAACUUGUUUAUUUAUUUGUUUUUAAUGAUUAAAUAAUAAGUUAUUAGUUAGUUUAAGAAAAGGGUACAAUACAAGGUACGACAUAUAUAUAUGUCUUAUAAAAUAUAUUUAAUAGUAGUAUUGUGAAAUAAAUAAAUAAAUGUACUUAAAUAUACGAUAUAUUCAUAUGUAAAAUAUAUAUAGGUAGGUGUAUCAAAAUAAAAUUAUCUUAGAAAUAUAUAGAUGUUGAAUUUGCGAAAAUCUAUCGUCUUAUUAAGAAGUAAAAAUAAGAUAAUAUGUAGUAACAUGUGACAUGUAAUUUGAAUGAAAAUAUAUAGAAUGGAGUUUCUAAAAUAUAAAAUAAAAUAAAUGAUACUAGAUGUUAAAAUAUUAAAAUAUUAUAUAAAGGUUUGUGAUCUUAAGUAUGUUUAUUACAAAGUAUAGUAUAUAUAUGUAAGUUGUUUAGAACAUAUGAACACUUAUUAUUUAACUCAAAGAAGAUCUCAUUUAAUGACAACCAUACGCAAUUAAACAAAGCAGUGACUACUUUGAAGCAUUAGAGUAGAGGUACGGUAAGUGUCGAAUUUAACAAUAACAAAGCUGCCCAUCUUUUAACUUGCUGCUAAUAUCAAUUAGAAUCUAAUCAAUAUACAAUACACUCAGGUAUCCAAACAAUCUCUAUCAAACAAAUGCUAGUUACUAAUUUAGUUAUUUGAUAUUAGUUCAUAUUACGUCAAAACUAACAACAUUCUUCUCCUAUUGUUAUGGGUUCAAAUAUGAGAAGUCGAAUUGAAGCAGUAACACAAACAUGAUUCAAUUUUAAGAUUUAAACUUUCUUUACAUUCAAUAUUUCCAAAUUACAUUGACAGCUUAUUAUCAAUAAAAUAUGUUAGUGACAGCCCAAUCACACACUUUCACAACAACAUCCCAACAAAUUAUAUUAAGAUAAAAACGAAAUGAAG